AUAAAAUGUCGCUAUAAUUUCAGCUGGCAGAGCACGAGUAGCUUUGGAAUUUCAAGAGCUGUUUGGCUCAGAUAACUGAUAUCGACCAUGGGAAAGAACAAGUGAGGAACGAUGGAAGAACGAGAGGCUGAAAAGGAAAGACAAAGGCAACGUAUGAAGAAAUUACGUGACAUAAGAACAAUGAGAGAAGAAGGGGAUUUGCCUUAGUCAUAGCCUUCAAGAGUUGAUUCAAGGUUGUGAACAAGAUUGAAGACACACUAAGCAACUAUGAAUACUACUUUACCUAUUCUUUUCUUAUGCAUUCUAAUGCUCGUUAAUGAUGCUAUGUUGGUAAUAUUUCUCUAUGUGAUAAUUUGAUGGUCACAUAAGAGGUUAACCAAUGAUUAGAAAUAAACAUGGUUUUAACUUUUGUACAACACCCUUAUGUGCAAAUUAUAUUAUUUCAUUCUCAAGUUAAAAAAUAAUGACUUGUAGGAAGCUCGGUCAACUUGAGCCUAAUAUUAAAUUUGAAUUGAAGCUUCAAGAGUCAAAUUCACAUUGUAGAAUUGACCCAAGGUAGAGUAUGUCAGUGUAAAUAUGGCCAUUUCACAUUUAGUUAGCAUAUCAAACUUUUAAGUUUGACCUAUUCACACUAGUUAAGUCUCCACUUAGGAAAUUUUAGCCUUUUGUCUCU